CCAGAGAACUUAGCAGAGAUGCUUUGGUGCCUUCGGGAACUCUGAGACAGGUGCUGCAUGGCUGUCGUCAGCUCGUGUUGUGAAAUGUUGGGUUAAGUCCCGCAACGAGCGCAACCCUUAUCCUUUGUUGCCAGCGGUUCGGCCGGGAACUCAAAGGAGACUGCCGGUGAUAAACCGGAGGAAGGUGGGGAUGACGUCAAGUCAUCAUGGCCCUUACGGCCAGGGCUACACACGUGCUACAAUGGCGCAUACAAAGAGAAGCGACCUCGCGAGAGCAAGCGGACCUCAUAAAGUGCGUCGUAGUCCGGAUUGGAGUCUGCAACUCGACUCCAUGAAGUCGGAAUCGCCAGUAAUCGUAGAUCAGAAUGCUACGGUGAAUACGUUCCCGGGCCUUGUACACACCGCCCGUCACACCAUGGGAGUGGGUUGCAGAAGAAGUAGGUAGCUUAACCUUCGGGAGGGCGCUUACCACUUUGUGAUUCAUGACUGGGGUGAAGUCGUAACAAGGUAGGCGUAGCGAG
rnacentral:rRNA from 1 species